rnacentral:pre_miRNA from 1 species
GUUUGUUGCAUAAAAGAUAGGUCGAGAUCGGUGGCAAUGUUUCGUAAUGGUUUUCCCUCAAUAUUGCACUUGUCCCGGCCUAUCGGAAUGCACUAAUU